rnacentral:misc_RNA from 1 species
GUGAAUCAUCAAAUUUUUGAACGCAAAUUGCACUCUCUUCGGAGAGUAUGCCUGUUUGAGGGUCAGCCUAAAAAAAAUCGACAUAGUCGCUGUUUCGCGGUGACAUUCGUCGGAAAUUGGGUCAUCUUAAACCUUUUGGUUUUAAGCGGCUUAAAAUUUUCUUUACGAUUCCACGAACGUUUCUAAGAUUUACUUAACGUUUUAGGGUUUGAUUUUUUAUUAACCUGGCCCUUU